rnacentral:lncRNA from 1 species
AAAAUGUGACUGUUUCAUUUUGCAGACUCAAAUAUCUUUAUAUUUUAUUGGCUUCUGUACCCCUACCUUCAAACCAUAACAGUUAAUUCCUAGUAUAUGUUUAUUGCAGCUGUAUUUUUUUUCAAUUAUCCCAAAGUGUGAACAUUUCAGGAUUAUAUUCUCUUCCCUUUCUCAUGUGUUAGUCUAGGCCAGAAAAUCCCUAAUGCUCUAGAGAUGCUGCUAGUGUGAACCAUGGUUAUUUAUGGGAAUGAUUUCAUAUCCCUCAGAUACAGGUGAGAAAGUACUAACAAGCUAACCUUCAUCAUUUAGUUUUAAUAAAGAUUAGAAGUCUUUCAUUGAAGUAAAUUUGAAACACUGAACUUGAAAGUUACAGAAUUAAGAACUUUAGAAACAUUCCUUUUACAGAAUUCAAAACCUUUAGCUUACAGAUUUUUUGAGAUCAGGUCUUGCUCUGUUGCCUAGACAGGAAUGCACUAGUGUGAUCACAGCUCACUGCAGCCUCGACCUCCCAGGCUCAAGCAGUUCUCCCACCUUAGCCCCUCAAGUAGCUGGGACUACAGGUGCACACCACCAUGGCUGGCUUUUUUUUUUUUUUUUUUUUUUUUUUUUGUAGAGACAGGGUCUCACUAUAUCGCCCAGGCUGGUCUUGAACUCCUGGGCUUAAACAGUUGUCCUUCCUCGGCCUUCCAAAGUACUGGGAUUUAGCCUUUGAUCGAAAUUCAAUAAGCACAUAUUUUCAUUCUUC